CAUCAUUAUUUAGGCAUUGAAUUAUCUUAUUAUUAAAUCGUUGCCAAGCCUCAUAUAAUGGUUCACUAUUAAGUUGGUAAAAACCGAUGAUUUCAUCUCUUAGUUG
rfam:Capsicum annuum cultivar Zunla-1 chromosome 8, whole genome shotgun sequence